rnacentral:rRNA from 1 species
AGAGUUUGAUCAUGGCUCAGAUUGAACGCUGGCGGCAGGCCUAACACAUGCAAGUCGGACGGUAGCACAGAGGAGCUUGCUCCUCGGGUGACGAGUGGCGGACGGGUGAGUAAUGUCUGGGGAUCUGCCCGAUAGAGGGGGAUAACCACUGGAAACGGUGGCUGAUACCGCAUAACGUCGCAAGACCAAAGAGGGGGACCUUCGGGCCUCUCACUAUCGGAUGAACCCAGAUGGGAUUAGCUAGUAGGCGGGGUAACGGCUCACCUAGGCGACGAUCCCUAGCUGGUCUGAGAGGAUGACCAGCCACACUGGAACUGAGACACGGUCCAGACUCCUACGGGAGGCAGCAGUGGGGAAUAUUGCACAAUGGGCGCAAGCCUGAUGCAGCCAUGCCGCGUGUAUGAAGAAGGCCUUCGGGUUGUAAAGUACUUUCAGCGGGGAGGAAGGCAGUGAGGUUAAUAACCUUGUUGAUUGACGUUACCCGCAGAAGAAGCACCGGCUAACUCCGUGCCAGCAGCCGCGGUAAUACGGAGGGUGCAAGCGUUAAUCGGAAUUACUGGGCGUAAAGCGCACGCAGGCGGUCUGUUAAGUCAGAUGUGAAAUCCCCGGGCUUAACCUGGGAACUGCAUUUGAAACUGGCAGGCUUGAGUCUCGUA